rnacentral:lncRNA from 1 species
UGACCGUGGAGGAUAAGAGCAUUCUUCUGACAAGUUUUAGCAUGGACUAUCCUCAGGAAAAUGAGAUCCAGGAAGAGUGACGCCCUCCUCGAACUGAAAGAUACUCAGGCUGAUGGAGUCAGGGAGGAAGUGGUUUAUCAACAGCACAGGAUGUGUGCAGGGAACAGAACUUUUUCAGACAUGCCCCAGAUUGUCUGCCCAUGGGGACUGAGGUACCUCUGAGAUUUACAGCAGAGAGGAAGGAGAGGCUGUUUCUACAGGUGCCACAGAAAAAUCGAUGCUGAGCCACGGAUUAUUGGAUCUCAUAGAACCGUGGAGACUUGGCAGUGAAAUUCUUCCAAAGCAUUCCAUCUGCACAGGCAGAGGUGUUCCUGGUUUGGGAAGUAUAAAUCCCGUGGGAAGUCAACUGGAGGACAUUUUACGCAUCACUCAUCCUAUUAUGAGCCUGCUGCUCCUUCCUCUCUUGACAAGUUGGCAGCUAAAGGACAGGAGCAGCAAUAAGGCUUCCUGGCUACAUUUUCAUGGUGCCACCAACUGCGAGUUAAGCUGACAAACAUUUUGAGAGCUCGGCCCAUUUCAUUCCCAGCAGGAUGGCAGGAGUUAACUAAAACAGAAUAAACUAAAAAUUGUGCCUUCAUUGCACAUUUGCACUGAUUAUCAGCACUGAAAAUGGCUAAGUUCUGCUCAUCAAGGAAAUAAUAUGCUCCAGAGAAUCCUCUAAUUCACCGAAAAUGGACUUGGAUAACAUUUGGGUUUUCAUACUACCACAGUCCUCUUGA